rnacentral:rRNA from 1 species
UACGUAGGGUGCAAGCGUUGUCCGGAAUUAUUGGGCGUAAAGAGCUCGUAGGCGGUUUGUCGCGUCGAAUGUGAAAACCCGGGGCUCAACCCCGGGCCUGCAUUCGAUACGGGCAGACUAGAGUUCGGUAGGGGAGUCUGGAAUUCCUGGUGUAGCGGUGAAAUGCGCAGAUAUCAGGAGGAACACCGAUGGCGAAGGCAGCUCACUGGGACGGUACUGACGCUGAGACGCGAAAGCGUGGGUAGCAAACAGG